rnacentral:rRNA from 1 species
GGAAGUAAAAGUCGUAACAAGGUUUCCGUAGGUGAACCUGCGGAAGGAUCAUUACUGAUUUAGCGAACCGAGCAUUAGCGAGGUUUUGCGAUCAAUUUAUAUUUAAAACCCACUCUUUAAUGUAUAAAAUUUGUAUUAAUGAUAAAUUAAAAGAUCACUUUCAACAACGGAUCUCUUGGCUCUCGCAUCGAUGAAGAACGUAGCGAAGUGCGAUAAGUAAUGUGAAUUGCAGUAUUCCGUGAAUCAUCGAAUCUUUGAACGCAUAUUGCACUUUCUGGUAUUCCGGAAAGUAUGCCUGUUUGAGGGUCAGUUAAAUAAAAAUCGGUGUUGUUGCCGCUUUUCGAGGUGACGCGUCGGAAUUGAGUUGUCUUACCUUCGGUUAAGUGACUUAAAAUUUUGUAUGAUUUUCGAACGUAUUUAAAUUUAUUUGAACGUUUGAUAUCGAAUGCUUAUUAGGUUCGGUCAUCCUCAUGACUCGCGCCUAUAAUUUUUCAUUAAAUGACCUCAAAUCAGGUAAGAAUACCCGCUGAACUUAAGCAUAUCAAUAAGCGGAGGA